rnacentral:rRNA from 1 species
GAUGAACGCUGGCGGCGUGCCUAAUACAUGCAAGUCGAGCGAACAGACGAGGAGCUUGCUCCUCUGACGUUAGCGGCGGACGGGUGAGUAACACGUGGAUAACCUACCUAUAAGACUGGGAUAACUUCGGGAAACCGGAGCUAAUACCGGAUAAUAUAUUGAACCGCAUGGUUCAAUAGUGAAAGACGGUUUUGCUGUCACUUAUAGAUGGUUCCGCGCUGCAUUAGCUAGUUGGUAAGGUAACGGCUUACCAAGGCAACGAUGCGUAGCCGACCUGAUAGGGGGAUCGGCCACAUGGGAACUGAGACACGGUCCAGACUCCUAAGGGAGGCAGCAGUAGGGAAUCGGCCGCAAUGGGCGAAAGCUUGACGGAGCAACGCCGAGUGAGUGAUGAAGGUCUUCGGAUCGUAAAACUCUGUUAUGAGUGAAGAACAAAUGUGUAAGUAACUAUGCACGUCUUGACGGUACCUAAUCAGAAAGCCACGGCUAACUACGUG